AUUGAACGCUGGCGGCAGGCCUAACACAUGCAAGUCGAACGAGUGGCGGCCGGGUGUGUAGUGUCUGGGAAACUGCCUGAUGGAGGGGGCUAACUACUGGAAACGGUCGCUAAUACAGCAUACCAUCACAUGUGCCCACAUGGGAUUAGCUAGUUGGUGGGGUAACGGCUCACCAGGGCGACGAUCCCUCGCUGGUCUGAGAGGAUGAACAGCCAAACUGGAAGUGAGACAGGGUCCAUACGCCGACGGGAGGCAGCGGUGGGGAAUAUUGCACAAGUGGCGCAAGCUUGAUGCAGCCAUGCAGCGUGUAUGAAGAAGGCCUUCGGGUUGUAAAGUACUUUCAGCGGGGAGGCGGUACCCGCAGAAGAAGCACCGGCUAACUCCGUGCCAGCAGCGGCGGUAAUGC
rnacentral:rRNA from 1 species